UCUAAGAAAAAAAGAGAAAAAGCAAUCAGCUAACCUGAGCCAUGGGGAGGGGAAGACUUUUCUUAAGCUUCACUUUCCUCAUCUUUUCAGCUGACACUCUGUGUAGAGUGAAGGUUUCUGGGCACAUAGAAAAACACAGCGGUUAUCCUGCGUGGUAGGUCCCAGGUGAGGAAAGACUUCUCAGAGAGUUAGUCUGAUUCUAAUUCUUUAAUAGCUGAUUGUAUUCACAUAUUUUUAUGUUUAGGGACAUCUUUUAAUAACUUAUAACACUCUCUCUGUAUUUGUGUCAUUAUUAGACAUGGUGAAGUGCCUUUAACUGCAGAGCAGAUUUUUCCAGCCUUCAUACACAUGGAAUUUCUAGCUGCGAAUGUUUUCAAUUCCUUCAUAUUUCCUGGUUAACUCCAAUGUACAGUGAUCCUGUGAACUUAUGUGGCUUCUAUUCUUGCUAUCAUUCCUUUCAUAUUUACCUUAUGUAAUAUUGUGAUGCUGCCAGCUAACUUUUGAUGGACGUGGGUUCAGCCUCCCUAAUUGCAUUUUAAGCGCCCUGAGGACAGAGACGUUGUGGGGCUCUGACACGCACCAUGCCUUGCACACGGAGGGCGCCCCAUGCAAAUGUGCUAAUGCCAGGUGCUGGCAGGGUGAGUGGGUCAAUCGCUUCAUCCAGGGCGGGAAUGGCUGGCAUGGGUGAGAAGGAAAUCAGGACAGUGAGAGAAUGGGUUCCCAACCCAGUUAAGGGUUUCUUUGGCCAAAAACAACCCCAGCAUGGGAGGUUAUUUUUUACAGGGAAGAGAAAAUAGACCCUGAACUACAAUAAUUAUUUCUGGCUGAAGCAAUGAAAUGCUGAAGUUGCUAUUGAAGACGCAGAGGGAGAAACACCUACUGUAUAACAGGAGUGUACUUCAGGGGCUCCAGUGAGAGAUGACAAAAGCCUGAAGAGAAUCAGUUAAUAGUGGAGGUGGCUGGUGAAGCAAAGAAAGGAGCAUUGCCCCCUCUGAGGAGGUAACAGCCCCUCAGGGACAGGCCUUGUCAACAACAGCUUUACAACUUAACAGCACCCAUAACGCUGGCUGGCAACUUGAUGCGAAGGGUCUUCUGAAGUUGCUUAUUGAAGUGAACCGAACUUGUACUACACUCCCCGCUCUCCACAACGAAACUGACCAUCACUACCGGUACCCAGUCACUUUAAAUUUUACACUAAUAUGGAGAGAAAAGCAUAAAGAAAAAAGGCAGAAGCUCAGGAAGGAUGUGCAUUACAGAAAGGAAAAAGCAAAGAUGAAGGAAGGAGAAAAGGUGUCAGCCCUUUAAAUCCCCUGGGAGUCACUUCAGCUGGAGAGAAAGGGACUUGCAACAGUAGAAGUGUGACAGCCAUAGCUGCCCACCGGCUAGUCUGUACUUCUGUGAUCUGGAGCAGCAACCAGUGAUCAGAGAACAGACCCCCAGUAUUUGGAAGACAGGGUCCUUAUUGCCCCCUCUGGUUCCUGCAAGCUGCACGCAACCUACUCCAGGAGCAUGUCGGUCAUGUGGCCCUGGGUGGCAGACGUGUAGCUGCUACUGCACUAAGAGCUGAAGUUGACUGAAAUGAACCACAAUUUGCCAUCCAAGCCUGCCCCUGCAAGUUGCAAACCUUGAACAGACCCCGGAGUUCCAAGCUGGUUACAUCAGACAGACUCUACCAGUGUGUAGAAGUGUAGGUCAAGGUGGGAAGGUAGAUUUCUGGUGCUUCCUGCUCUGCCAUCUUCCCACUGUUUGUCAUAUUUUUUAAGCUGCAUAGCUUAGAUCAGUAGUUCUAACUGCCAAGUUAAAAGGAAUUUACAGGGCAAAAGAGCAUGUUAAACGACACCACAGAUAUACAAUCAGCAAAAUCCAGACUGUGGGAACUCUACAAGACAAUGACCUGACCUGACUUUGUUAAAAAUUAUUUUUAGAGAGAGAUAAAAAAGAGGGGAAACUGUAGCUUAAAAGAGACUUAAUCACACAAAAUCAAGUGCAGUGUGUGGGUUUUGUUUGGAUCCUGACUUGACAAAACAGGAAAAAUAUUUUUAUGAGACAGGGAGGCAAGAGGAUGAGAGAAAAGAAAACCUGACGCCAGAAGGACAAGUCUGAGCGGGGAGGCCAGGAGCCGAGGAAUGGGGGCGGCCCCAGCAGCUGGGACGCACAAGGAGCAGAUGCUCCCCCAGAGCUUCUAGGAGGACCACAGCCUUUGAUUUUAGCCCUGUAAGACCUAUUUAAGGUUUGUGACCUCCAGAACUGUAUGAAAAUAAAGCUGUGCUGUUCUAAACCACUAAGUUUGUGGCGAUUUGUUAUGGCAGCAAUUAGAAACUAAUACAUUCAACUUCAAGCAAUGU